rnacentral:rRNA from 1 species
GCCAGACUCCUACGGGAGGCAGCAGCGAGGAAUAUUGGUCAAUGGCCGAGAGGCUGAACCAGCCAAGUCGCGUGAGGGAAGACGGCCCUACGGGUUGUAAACCUCUUUUGUCGGGGAGCAAAGAGAGUCACGUGUGACUCAUUGAGAGUACCCGAAGAAAAAGCAUCGGCUAACUCCGUGCCAGCAGCCGCGGUAAUACGGAGGAUGCGAGCGUUAUCCGGAUUUAUUGGGUUUAAAGGGUGCGUAGGCGGAUUUUUAAGUCAGCGGUAAAAUGUCCGGGCUCAACCCGGGCCGGCCGUUGAAACUGGGGAUCUUGAGUGGGCGAGAAGUAUGCGGAAUGCGUGGUGUAGCGGUGAAAUGCAUAGAUAUCACGCAGAACUCCGAUUGCGAAGGCAGCAUACCAGCGCCCGACUGACGCUGAGGCACGAAAGCGUGGGGAUCGAACAGGAUUAGAUACCCGCGUAAC